rnacentral:rRNA from 1 species
AUUGAACGCUGGCGGCAGGCCUAACACAUGCAAGUCGAACGAGUGGCGGACGGGUGAGUAAUGUCUGGGAAACUGCCUGAUGGAGGGGGAUAACUACUGGAAACGGUAGCUAAUACCGCAUACCAUCGGAUGUGCACAGAUGGGAUUAGCUUGGUGGUGGGGUAACGGCUCACCAAGGCGACGAUCCCUAGCUGGUCUGAGAGGAUGACGAGCCCAGUUGGAACGGAGACACUGUCCAGACUCCUACGGGAGGCAGCAUUGUGGAAUAUGUCACAUGGGGCGCAAGCCUAAUGCAGCCAUGCCGCGUGUAUGAAGAAGGCCCUCGGGUUGUAAAGUACUUUUAGCGGGGAGGCGUUACCCGCAGAAGAAGCACCGGCUAACUCCGUGCCAGCAGCCGCGUAAUUC